rnacentral:rRNA from 1 species
UACGAAGGGUGCUAGCGUUGUUCGGAAUCACUGGGCGUAAAGCGUGCGUAGGCGGCUUUCCAAGUCAGGGGUGAAAUCCUGGGGCUCAACCCCAGAAUUGCCUUUGAAACUGGAAAGCUAGAGUAUCGGAGGGGAUAGCGGAAUUCCUAAUGUAGAGGUGAAAUUCGUAGAUAUUAGGAGGAACACCGGUGGCGAAGGCGGCUAUCUGGACGAUUACUGACGCUCUGGCACGAAAGUGUGGGGAUCAAACAGG